UCAACCCCUAAUGUACAUGCAUGCAGCUGCACUCUCUCCUACACACUCCAUGGCACUAUUCAAACUGAAGCUGAAAUAUGAAACCCUCCCUACACAGCUCCUCAGUUAGUGUUUGGACUUUGGAUUUUCAUCAUCAUGUCAAGUUUGCUGCUAAAAAUGACCUUUGUGCUCUUUGUCAUGGCACUUCAAGGUGAGGGCUACAAGAUUGCAGAACAAAUGGAAGUGUGGUAAAUGUUAUGGCGAUAUCUCUCCUGAGCUUAUUCUUCUUACCUUCUUAUUUUAUCUUUUUUAACUUUAUCAAUAUCCUUCAAGUUUUCUUGACCUUGCAAGUCCAAGCCUAUAAUAAUCAAGGUCAAAAUAACUUGUAACAUGUUUAAAGAAAUAUAACAUAUUAACAUGUAAUGAUGUUCUUAAAGUUCUUAAGAGAAUAAAUAUCAUGUUGUAUUCCUUCUUUUGAGCUUCAUAGUUUAUUUAUAAUUUUUAA